AAGAAUUGCUUUUCUGACUUCUGCACUCAAUAGCAAGACAAAUCUCUCCUCUGCCUUCUCCUUAUCAGACUACUCAACAUGAAGGCAAUAAGAAUGAAGACCUUUAUGCAUAAUAAUUGACUUCCACUUAAUAAAUAGCUCCAGGUCAACAGUGGAAUAUUAGCAAAGUUUUGGAGGAGUCAAAAGAAACAGAUUUUCAUAUGAAGCAGAUUUUCAGCUGCAUGGGGG